rnacentral:rRNA from 1 species
GACGAACGCUGGCGGCGUGCUUAACACAUGCAAGUCGAACGGAAAGGCCUCUUUCGGGGGGUACUCGAGUGGCGAACGGGUGAGUAACACGUGAGUAACCUGCCCUUGACUUUGGGAUAACUUCAGGAAACUGGGGCUAAUACCGGAUAGGAGCUCCUGCUGCAUGGUGGGGGUUGGAAAGUUUCGGCGGUUGGGGAUGGACUCGCGGCUUAUCAGCUUGUUGGUGGGGUAGUGGCUUACCAAGGCUUUGACGGGUAGCCGGCCUGAGAGGGUGACCGGCCACAUUGGGACUGAGAUACGGCCCAGACUCCUACGGGAGGCAGCAGUGGGGAAUAUUGCACAAUGGGUGGAAGCCUGAUGCAGCAACGCCGUGUGCGGGAUGACGGCCUUCGGGUUGUAAACCGCUUUCGCUCAGGACGAAGCUUUGUGUGACGGUAGUGGGUAAAGAAGCACCGGCUAACUAC